AGUGAACGCUGGCGGUAGGCCUAACACAUGCAAGUCGAACGGCAGCACAGUAAGAGCUUGCUCUUACGGGUGGCGAGUGGCGGACGGGUGAGGAAUACAUCGGAAUCUACUUUUUCGUGGGGGAUAACGUAGGGAAACUUACGCUAAUACCGCAUACGACCUACGGGUGAAAGCAGGGGAUCUUCGGACCUUGCGCGAUUGAAUGAGCCGAUGUCGGAUUAGCUAGUUGGCGGGGUAAAGGCCCACCAAGGCGACGAUCCGUAGCUGGUCUGAGAGGAUGGUAAGCCACACUGGAACUGAGACACGGUCCAGACUACUACGGGAGGCAGCAGUGGGGAAUAUUGGACAAUGGGCGCAAGCCUGAUCCAGCCAUACCGCGUGGGUGAAGAAGGCCUUCGGGUUGGAAAGCCCUUUUGUUGGGAAAGAAAAGCAGCAGGUUAAUACCCCGCUGUUCUGACGGUACCCAAAGAAUAAGCACCGGCUAACUUCGUG
rnacentral:rRNA from 1 species